CCUGGUGGUCAUAGCGCGAGCGAAACACCCGAUCCCAUUCCGAACUCGGCCGUUAAGCGCCGCAGCGCCGAUGGUACUGCGUCUCAAGACGUGGGAGAGUAGGUCGCCGCCAGGC
rnacentral:rRNA from 1 species